rnacentral:tRNA from 1 species
GCGGGCGUGCUGGAAUCUAGGCAUACAGGCCAGGCUUAGAACCUGGUGCUCGAAAGAGCUUGAGGGUUCGAAUCCCUCCGCCCGCA